CCAGGUCAGAGAGUCAGAGGGAUGUUGUCUUGGAAAAUAGGGCAGCGACUUACCGGAGAAAAGUUAUUAGCUUAAGAUAACUCAUUAUAGAUUUUACAAGUUAAACAGACAUUCUGUAAAUAUUAAUGUCCAGCUAACGUUACGUAACAUAUCGGUAGCUUCAGUUAAUUGGGCCUCGUGCUAACUCAGUGUCGCUAACGAAAAGAAAAACCAAUAGGAAGCAGUGAUUCUGCUCCACCAACCAACCAGCCAGUCGGUGCUGCCUCUCAGCAUGACUAUAUACAGUUUUAAAAGCCGCCAGGUGAACGAGAGGUGAGGUGACCUCGGUGGAGUCGUACUUGGAAGGCCACAUCAGAGGGUGAAGCAUGAAUACAGACGCCGAAGAAGAUUCAGAAGAAAAAGAUUCAGAGGAAGAUUCAGAAGAAGAAGAUUCAGAAGAGGAAGAUCCAGAAUUCAAAGCUGUCGUCUUUCUACUUAAUUUAACUGACGGCUCAUUGGCUGCACCUGUGCUGGUGUAUUUAAGCGACCUGGAACCAUAUAUGGCUCUUCUAACCACCAUCUGACAUUUCCCCAUUGCUCACUAGACCACCAUCUUUAUUCUCUGCACCGCUUCACUCCCAGACAUGUACUUCUCAAGUGUAAUAAAGGGGUUUACGCGCCAUAGCCCAACCGCCGUACUCUGCUCUGUCAGGUUUUUGAAGGGGAGGCUUUGAAACUCAUGCCUCAGUUUGACAUUUACGGUCGAGCAACUCGGAGCUGCUUUUUUUUUUUUUUAGGUUGUCCUUGCAUCUCCAACGGAUAGAUAAGGGGUAUGAGGAUGACAUCUUUUUCUCAGACCUCCUUUCUCCUGUUGCUUUUCUGCUGGCUUGGCGGCUGACUUCUAGCUCGUAGCGCAUCACAAUCUGCACUCUCUCGACUUUGAUCUCCUUCUGGAGCCAAAAAUCUGCCAAAACAACAGAGACAAGGCUUGCAUACAGUCGCACUGCCUUGUGUGUUCACCAUUUUUCCCCCAACACUGACUGUUUUCCUGGGCUGCACAGUGGCUUGGUGGUUAGCACUUUCACUUUGUAGCUAGAAGAUCCCGAUUUGCGUCCUGACGUUCCUGGCUCUUUCUGCAUUAAGUUUGCAUGUUCUCCCUGUGCAUGUGUGGAUUUUCUCCAGAUUCUUCCUCCUGAUGAAGAAAAUACCAGACGUUUUGCUACAGAUACUCUUUUGCUACAGAAACUUACUUAUUUGCAAUUGUUCGCCAGACUCCUUGAUUCAAUUACCCUUUUGUUCUGUUGUCUUAUCCUCUUAUCACUGAUUAGCAACCAGACACAAAUUAACCACUAUUCACCUUGGUAGUUACCUACAGCCCCCUCCCUACCCUUUGAUCCAUCCUGUGACAUUCCUAUAAAAAGUGUACCCCGAAAAUGUUCUGGGUCGACUUACCUUUGCAGACACAUACUCCAUGUCAGUAAAUCUACCAUCUUACCAGAAAUACCAAUAAAACACACCACUACAGCAAACCUCAAAGGAUUAAGAGUGAAAUUUCUUCAACACUCUCACAGUCCAAAAACAUGCUGAGGUCAAUUGAUAACUCUAAAUUGUCCAUAGAUGUGAAUGCGAGUGUGAUUGUUUGUCUGUAUAUGUAGACCAGCGAUAGACUGGUGACCUGUUCUGUCCCCCAUGACCCUAAUGAGAAUUAUGCAAUGUAUAGAUCAUGGACGGAUGAAUGUUUUCCCCCUCAGUUUUAAAUGGAAAAUCUGAUUUGCAUUCAUAAAGUUUUUCAAAUGAAAAAUGCCUCUUUAGCGUAUAAUGAAAGCCGUCUUGAAAAAGAAAGGUUCCACUCAUCUUUUAUAAAUGCAAACCCUGAUUAGUAAGUGCACUUUGUGUGACAAGGGAAUAAGAGCUGUGUGAAUGCUUGCUUGAGUGGAUCACUAAAGGAGAAAAAGUGUAAAAAUUACACUGCAGUAGCCACACACGUUACACAAACAAUCAUGCGAAGCCACCCACGAGCAAAAAGUACCCCAGUUAGCCUCGAACUAACUUGAAAGAGCUUUUUCCUUGCAGGCACUCAGAACUUGUGGUAUUGCAGGAGUCUGUAACAAGUAGCAAGUUUUGACUUUAAAAGCAAUGGUGUGAGGUACAUUUAUAGAAAACAUAACCGCACAGCUGUAUAGACUAUGUACUGUAGAAAGGGGAAUAGAACAUUACAGCAAAAUUACUUGUUUCAUUUGCAAACUAGAAGGUUCUGCUCCAGUUGAAAUGAUCAUUUCUUUUUAUGCUGCAAACUAAAGAUAACAACAGUGGCUAAAAAAUAUUGCAGUUCUAUUAAAGUUGAGGUUUGGCAGUCUAUUUUGGUGUCAUUGGGCAAAAAAUACGUACAAACCUUUCAGCAUGUUGUAAUUCGAGCGGUCUGAGAUGAAACUCCACACCUCCUCCUGGCUUCAUUUUCAGGCUUUAGAAAAUCUAAUGUGUGGCAGAUUUUAGCCAAUCACAGGUCUUUUUACUCAGGAUGUGACCUGCAGACAACAUCAACAAACAACAACAACAACAGUGAGACUAGGACUGGUGAAAUCAGUGCUAAGGAAAAAGUUGCAGGAGAAUGGUUGUAUAUUUUUUCCAUUUAAUUUUCUUAUUUUGAUGGCUUCUCUGCCAUCACACACAGCUAUGGACAUGGAUAAGCUGAUUCUAUAAAUACAGAGUCUAUAGAGUAUUAGUCUAAGAUGUUAUGUAACCAAUAAUUUGCUAUUUCAUUGUAUUUUAUGCCAACCUGUUCUUCUCCUGUGUCAGUAAUAAUGCACAUGUAUAAAUAGUGGUGCUGUCGCCGUAUCAGAUCUUUACUGUACGAUGAAAUACAAAGUCUUCUCUCUCUUCUCAUCACUUCAUCUGCCUCUCUUCUUACUGUGAUGCACCCAUCACUUUGCUACAGGGUCAGUCUGGACUCAUCAGACCACAUUUGUUCCUCCAAGCUGAUGGUUCACCGCUAUCCUUCAGGUUUUUUUUUUUUUUUUUUUAAUGUGUUAGACAUUUCUUGACUUGAUUCUUUACCUGAUUCUUAACCUGAACCUGAAAUCUCCUUAGUUGUUUUCUUUGCUUUGAUGCAGGCCAAUAAUUUCACGCAUCUGAGACAGAUUAAUAUCCUUUCCAUGACCACAGGAUGUGUCUUCCUACAUGGUUGUUGAAGAAAUGAGAAGCUCCUCUCUGCAUCAGCUAUGGUUAAUUGAGUUGCUGCAGCUGAAACGUAUUCAUCACUGCAGUAAUUAUCCGAUGGAAAGCUCUUACCAAUUUGCUCAGCUAAAUCCAGGUGGUGACUUUUUAAAAAUUUUUUGUCCAAGCAGUGUAUAAGUUGUAUACAUAAUGGCUAGUCACCUUCCAAAAUAUCCAGUCCAACAACAGACGUAAACUUUAUCAUAUUUAAUUCCAUUGUAGCAUAUUGAUGAUGACACGCAAGUACAAAAGCAAUUACAAGACAUUCCAUUACAACUUGGACCCAGUAAACCCCACUGAAAUAUAAAACAACAAAAUGAAAGGAAAAAAAACCAAAACAAAACACCAUAGCACUAAGUUUGUUUCAUAGUGAAGUCAAUAAGACAAACAUUAACAUGUUGAUUUGGGGGGAAAACUAGGACCAUGAGGGUUACUGUCUUUUUUAUUUAUUAUUUUUAUCUUCUUGAAUAAAAAACUGUUAUAUAGUAUUUAUAUAUUACAACACUCGACAGAAAACAAAGUAAUACAUAUAAAAAAAAAAAAUCACAAAAUAUGAACCUUGAACAAUACAUGGAGAAACGACUUUUAAGAGUGGGACCGAUGGCACGUCUAUUUCCUUUCAUUGAUUUGCACAUUUUCACAAAAGGUGCUUAAAAUCACAAGCUUUUAUUCUAAACGGAGCAUGGAUGGAUGGAUGGAUUCCCAUGGAAACAGUGAGAAGCAGAAAUAUUCCAUUGUGCAUGAUCUGACAGUAGAUGGCGCCACAGCCCUUCAAACAAACCCUCCUAGUCUUCCAUUGUCUUCUCAAAGUGACAAAGAAAAAAAGAUGUCAAAUUUCGUUCUUUUCCCAACAUUUAAUGCUGAAACGGCUUCCUAUCUUUAUACGAGCAAAUACUACACCUUAGCUGAAGAAAAUGUGACAUAUUUGCCAGCAAAUACCCACUUGACUGUGACAUCUGAGAGGAGGUGGACAGGUUGGCCGUGGGUGGAGAUUAUUAAAAUAUUCAGAAAGUACAUUUCCACCUGCAUCAGCAAUGCCACUGAGACUUUUAAGUGAGGGGAAAAAAAACACAUGGAAACUUUCUUAUUCUUUAGCACCACAGUUGGACCACUAAUGAAUUGUGACACUUCUAUGAAUCUUUUAGGGAAAAUUCAUAAAAGCCUCCCAGGUCCAUACCUAGUUGGUAUAUUCAGUCAUUCAUACUAAGGUAUUACUGUGAAUAUCAUCAUACUGUGUGAGAGCUGACGUUGAUAGUUUUUGAUUAGGUUAUGAUAGUAGCAACAUGAAUACUUUCAGUAGAAAUUUCUAUUAAAUAACACCUUCAAAUAAUUUGUGGCUUUUUGAACGUUUUUAAGAGUAAAUAGAUCAAAUUGUCUACGUCAGCUUCAUCAAUGUUCCCGCUAAGAAUUAUUUGAACAUACUAUUUGCCAUAUAUCUAAUUUCCAGACUUAACACUGACUCUGGCAUGCAUACAAACUUACCACUGUGGGUGACUGAGGCGUCAUCUUAAUUAAAGAGCCCAUAUGCAAAUUGUCAAGUUCAGAAUUUUAUGUUUGGGGUCUCCUGGAAAAUGUCUGUGAUCUUUAAUGUUCAAAAAACUUUUUUUUUUUUUUCAAUUGGAAAUUCAGUCUUCCUAACCUAGCGUGCUGAAAUUAUCGCCAAAAACCUGCCAAUGUCCUAGCUCUUGUGUCUUAUAUUGUGGAUGAAAUAUACACAACUUUACGACAGAUAUCCUGGAGUGAAAAAGAUUUUGAAAG